GACGAACGCUGGCGGCGUGCUUAACACAUGCAAGUCGAACGGAAAGGCCCUGCUUUUGUGGGGUGCUCGAGUGGCGAACGGGUGAGUAACACGUGAGUAACCUGCCCUUGACUUUGGGAUAACUUCAGGAAACUGGGGCUAAUACCGGAUAGGAGCUCCUGCUGCAUGGUGGGGGUUGGAAAGUUUCGGCGGUUGGGGAUGGACUCGCGGCUUAUCAGCUUGUUGGUGGGGUAGUGGCUUACCAAGGCUUUGACGGGUAGCCGGCCUGAGAGGGUGACCGGCCACAUUGGGACUGAGAGACGGCCCAGAAUCCUACGGGAGGCAGCAGUGGGGAAUAUUGCACAAUGGGCGGAAGCCUGAUGCAGCAACGCCGCGUGCGGGAUGACGGCCUUCGGGUUGUAAACCGCUUUCGCCUGUGACGAAGCGUGAGUGACGGUAAUGGGUAAAGAAGCACCGGCUAACUACGUG
rnacentral:rRNA from 1 species